UCAUCAGGCUUUGGGAUGCCAAGCGGGUGAGUAAAUGAUGAGGACUAGUAAAUAAUCCUGUCCCUUUAAAACUGAAAACGUGCCUGGUGCCACUUCACCUCUGACCUUGACUGAGAGCGGUCAAUUUCACACUGCUAAGCCAAAAUCAGGACUGCGGGCAGAAGAGGAUCCGAUGCUCAGAUCCCGUCUGAGACUCACUCCCACACUAACACGCUCCACCAGAGGCCGGCGUGUAGCAGAGAGAGGUUCUGACCUCCUGAGAGAGCAGAGAGACGCCUGACGCCAGGAGCCAGACCGCGCAUAAUGGGGAACAGGGCUCCUCCAUCUGUCGGACGGAGCAGAGAGAUGCUCGAUGUGAGCAACAUCACAAGAGCAGCUGCUGUCAGGAGCAAAGAUGGAAAGGAAGGGCAGCAAAAGAAAGAGUGGUUCUCCAGGUCAGAGAUGCAGCGAUGGCUUUCUCACACCUGCUGAGGCACCACUCCUCACAAAACCUUUCCCAAGAAAAUAAACGUGAACGGAGACGGCAAGCACAGGCCGCCCAGCAGAGUCCUGACUUCCUCCCAGAGUUCCUGUGAUGCGCAGUGUGUUUCCUGGUAUGAGCAAGAGGGCAUGGGAAAGAACGCUCUGCCCCCUUCCACAACGGUAAACUGAGCUUAAACAAACCCGGGACGGGGCACGGCCGGGACAGAGCACUUCACCUGGCCUCACGCUGUUCUGCUAGCAUCGGCGUCUUUCACGGCUAUCAUAUUCCACACAAUGUCUUACAUCAUACAUCAGCGAAUGUUGUCAAAUCUAUAUCUCUUUUUACCCAGCAUGAAUGUAGUAAUGAAGCUAAACCAGUUGGGGAACAACUGAUCACAUGACGAAGCCUUCAACAGUUGCUUCCCACUUUUUCAGUGGCAUUGGUUCCGGAAGUUUAUUUUUUAUUUAUUUUUUUAUUGCGAUU